AAGUCGUAACAAGGUUUCCGUAGGUGAACCUGCGGAAGGAUCAUUAAAAGUAAUUGGUUAUACCAUAUCCUGUAUCCAACUGCACAAACCCAUUCCGAGUACCUUGCCUGUUGCUUCCAUGGGGCCUGACUUUGGUCACUCUUGUGAAUGCGAAUCCCAAGAGAGUCCCCCAUGGGGGGUUAAUCAUUAAAUUCCAUUGAAUCCAAUGCCUUCUGUCUGAAGUGUUAAAAAACAAAGUGUUAAAAAC
rnacentral:misc_RNA from 1 species